GGCCUGGCCCACACCCUACAGCUCCCACAGACAGCCACAGUUGGAGAGAUGGCCACUAAAUCCCCUUAUGGGGGACCGAGAGGAGGGGUCCUUAAUCAAGGGUCUGUGUUGGGGCGGCCUUUGAUCCCUUGCCAUUGCCGUCAAAUACGUGCCUCGUCCUUCUCACCUGCCCCCACCCAGCUUGACUCCCAAGGCCUCUCUUCUAAAGCUUUUUGGGUGCAAAUAAUAAGAACAACAAUGACAACUCACGCAUCGAUGUGAGCACUUCAAGCCCAUCCCUAAAGAACUGCUUCCGAAUUCCAAAUCCGAAAUCUGGAGAGAGCCCACCUAACAAGAGCCCCACCCCUUCCCACUCCACUCCUUUUUCUCCUUUGCCUUCAUCCCUUCGGUCUCAUCCUUUCUCCAAUUUCAGUCUCUUCUCGCUCUCCCUGUUUGACUUUUGACUCUUUGUCUCUCUCUGUCUUCUCCUUUUAUCAUUCUCUCCCACUUCCCUCUAUCUUCGGUCUCUUCUUUCCCCGUGCGUCUGUCUUCUCUCUCGUUCUCUUCUUUCUGGGUCUCUGUUU